CAUGUACUGGUGGGGUCCCUCGGCCUGGCCUGUGCCCUCUCGCAAUCUGGGACCCCUCAGGGAAUGUCAGAGUCAGUUUUGGCCCCAUCCGCAGGCCAGGCCGAGGGACCCCACUGGUGCACG
rnacentral:pre_miRNA from 1 species